rnacentral:rRNA from 1 species
GUUUCGAAAGGAACGCUAAUACCGCAUACGUCCUACGGGAGAAAGCAGGGGACCUUCGGGCCUUGCG